rnacentral:rRNA from 1 species
UACGUAGGGGGCAAGCGUUGUCCGGAAUUAUUGGGCGUAAAGCGCGCGUAGGUGGCCCGGUAAGUCCGCUCUGAAAGUCAAAGGCUCAACCUUUGAAAGCGGGUGGAUACUGUCGGGCUAGAGUCCGGAAGAGGCGAGUGGAAUUCCUGGUGUAGCGGUGGAAUGCGCAGAUAUCAGGAGGAACACCAACGGCGAAGGCAGCUCGCUGGGACGGUACUGACACUAAGGCGCGAAAGCGUGGGGAGCGAACAGG